GUUGAGGAGAGUUCGUUGUUACUCAGCUUUAAUCCUUUUGAUUUCGUAUAAGCUUACACUGAACCCGGCCUGAUUAUUGAUUUGUAAACUUGUUUUAAUCGACGCAUCUUUGUCGGCGAAACAUUUAUAUAACGUUUUGGCAGUGGCUGAAUUAAAGAAAAAUUUCAAAUACGAUUCUGAGAAGAAGACUAUUUCCUAAAUCCUUAUUGUGAGCUAUAUCUUGCGAAGGCUCUAUCCUACCCGGCCCAAGGUUAUCAGAUUUCGGUGAACAGAAGUAGAAGAUCAUAACGACUUAUUCAAGAAACUACUUCCUAACUUUAGUCAAUCCUGUGAAGACUCUAUACUACCAGCUAUAUUAUC